rnacentral:rRNA from 1 species
GAUGAACGCUAGCUACAGGCUUAACACAUGCAAGUCGAGGGGCAGCAUGAGGUAGCAAUACCUUGAUGGCGACCGGCGCACGGGUGAGUAACGCGUAUGCAACCUGCCCGAUACCGGGGUAUAGCCCAUGGAAACGUGGAUUAACACCCCAUAGUACUUUUAUCCUGCAUGGGAUGUGAGUUAAAUGUUCAAGGUAUCGGAUGGGCAUGCGUCCUAUUAGUUAGUUGGCGGGGUAACAGCCCACCAAGACGAUGAUAGGUAGGGUUUCUGAGAGGAAGGUCCCCCGCAUUGGAACGGAGACACGGUCCAAACUCCUACGGGAGGCAGCAGUGAGGAAUAUUGGUCAAUGGACGUAAGUCUGAACCAGCCAAGUCGCGUGAGGGAAGACUGCCCUAUGGGUUGUAAACCUCUUUUAUAAGGGAAGAAUAAGUUCUACGUGUAGAAUGAUGCCUGUACCUUAUGAAUAAGCAUCGGCUAACUCCGUGCCAGCAGCCGCCGUAA